AUACGUAGGGUGCGAGCGUUAUCCGGAAUUACUGGGCGUAAAGGGCGCGUAGGCGGCGCGGUAAGUCUGGAGUGAAAGUCCGGCUUUUAAGGGGGGAAUUGCUUUUGAUACUGCAGUGCUAGAGUGCGGUAGAGGUAGGUGGAAUUCGCAGUGUAGCGGUGAAAUGCGUAGAUAUUGGGAGGAACACCAGUGGCGAAGGCGACUUACUGGGCCGUAACUGACGCUGAGGCGCGAAAGCGUGGGGAGCGAACAGGAUUAGAUACCCUGGUAGUCCACGCGGUAAACGAUGAAUGCUAGGUGUAAGAGGUAGCGACCCCUUCUGUGCCGGAGUUAAAGCAAUAAGCAUUCCGCCUGGGGAGUACGGCCGCAAGGUUGAAACUCAAAGGAAUUGACGGGG
rnacentral:rRNA from 1 species